GGUGGAGAACCGCCUGCGCAUGUCAAGGCUGACAGAGCAUACACGGUCAAGGGGGCCUGGAGGAAGGGCAGCUGGUCACUAGCCACACAGGGUCGGGGCCCCGGCUCGAUUCCCGGGAGCUCCGGGAAAGGGGCCCACCCCCACCCCACCGCCCCACCUCUGAAAUCGCCAGCCAAACAGGAGCUUCCUCCUCCUUCCCGGCCCCUCCGGACCUCCCCGGGAAGCCUCAGCGGGUGUGGACGGGAACGAAUUUUAUAGCUCAGACGGCGGCCCCGGAGGCUUCGGGUGUGAGGGCACGCCCAGCUGGAGAAGCCGGCUAGGGCGGAGGAAGCUGGAGCUCCCGGGUCUGGGUGGAUCCAAGGUCGGAGCGUAGCUAUUCGUAGGGAGGUGAGAGGUGGAUCAACAUGGACCCCUUCGACAGCCCAGCCUCCUAGAGCCGGCCUGCUGCUCACUUCGGAGCUGAGCUUUCCCCGAGGCGCAAACAAGAGAAGCAGCGGAGCAACUGAAUUGGAAGUUCCGGGGUGGGCGGGGAAGGUACUGUCCGUGGUGCUGAGCCGGAUCCCAGCAACGGGCUCCAGGGAGAGAGGCGCGCCAAGCUGCUGAUCGGCUCCCUCGAAUGAGGGCGGUCUGUAGGGUGGCUUGGAGCUGAAACCCCCGCCCGGCUCAAGAAGCCCGCAGAGCUUCCCCGGUCACCGGCACUUGGCCAUUAUUUCAGUCAGAAAGUCGCCCCCUUGGGGCAGUUCGUCCCAGAGGGUUUCCUCGAAAGUAUCCGAGAGGGAGCAGUUGUUGACCCAGGGAAUCUCUCUGUUUAGCCCAGGAAGCCACCUGCCGAAGAAGAUGCCUGCCUUCAACAGCUUGUUUCCCCUGGCUUCCCUCGUGCUCAUCUUGUGGGAUCUACGAGUAUCGGAACGGCCAGCAGGAGGUGGAGAGCCCCUUCCAGGGACGCCUGCAGUGGAAUGGGAGCAAAGACUUGCAGGACGUGUCCAUCACAGUGCUCAAUGUCACUCUCAACGACUCUGGCCUCUACACUUGCAACGUGUCGCGGGAGUUUGAGUUCGAGGCUCAUCGGCCCUUUGUGAAGACCACCCGGCUGAUCCCCCUUCGAGUCACUGAGGAGGCUGGAGAGGACUUCACCUCUGUGGUCUCAGAAAUCAUGAUGUACAUCCUCCUGGUCUUCCUCACCUUGUGGCUGCUCAUCGAGAUGAUAUAUUGCUACAGGAAGGUCUCAAAGGCCGAAGAGGCAGCCCAAGAAAAUGCGUCUGACUACCUGGCCAUCCCAUCAGAGAACAAAGAGAACUCUGCGGUGCCAGUGGAGGAAUAGAAGGGGUGACUUGAGGUGAUGUACAGGGAAGGGAGGGGCAGGUAGCUCAGGAUGGUAGGUUGUACAGGUGACACUGUCACCCACCAAUCAAAGUGACUUUAAAUUUGGUCCUUUAGAUUAGAUUUCUACCCUACCCAGAGUCCCCACCCUCAGAACACAUCUUUAAGUUGAUGCCCAAGUCAUAAAGCUCUGUGUGAGGUCGAGUCCUUUGGAAGGUGAAUUGCUUUGGCCUGAGUGUUGGGGCAACUUGAAGUUCUGACCCAUAGUGACCAAAAAUAAUUCCCUGACUCCCUCCUAUGUAAGGAUCAUGGAUUUUGUCAAAGAGUCUUUGGCUGGGCUGGACUGAGCUGGAACUUCUCAGUGAGUUGUUUUGUCAUUGGUAGGUGGCCUGAACACUGAAGGACUGGCUAUCCUAGGUUCAGUGAUGUCAGCAGCGUCAGGAGGCUGCCCCAGGGGCCACAUCACUUCCCUUCAUGCCUCCAUCCUUCAGCUCACUCAUCAUCCAUCCACUCACCUCCGACUUGCUAACCCCAUCAGACCUAUACACCAGAAGACCUUGCCAGAACUGAGGAGCCAAUAUGUCUACACAGACUCAACCUCACCCUGUCCUAGCUAUCAGGCAAGCGGCUCCCAUGCCAACUGACUCCUCCCCUGAGCUCCACCCGACUUUGAACACAUGCCGUGGGCAGUACAUCCACCUGCCCCUUACUGGCUGGAGCUGGCUCGUUCUCCAUUGCUGCAAGUGAAUGCAUGUCUUAGUGGAAGGAAGCAGGAAUGGUCAGUUGGGGUUAAAGCAAAAGAGUGUCAUGAAACGGGAUUUACUGAUGUCAGUUUUUCUAAGUUCCUGGCCCACGGGGCUGGAGCAUCAGAGCAAAGCAUGCCUUUUUAGGCCUUCCAGUGAUAGAAAGUUCGUUAAGCAUGGACUAAACUAUUCUCUGGAGCUUGGCUCCAGGGCUAGAUACCGAUAGGUCUCAAAGGCCUGGGUUAAUCUCAGUCCUUGAAGAAGCCAAGCGUAGGCAACCAGUUUAGUCACACAUGUUUGUAAUCCUCACACGGUAACAUGUGUGUGCCUUCCCAGGCGAGCACACUUCCUGAGAUGGCCAGGUGGCAAUACUUCCCUGUGGGCACUGGAACUGAAAUCGCAAAGUUCUUCCUCUCAGAAUUUCUGUGGAUCAGUAUUAUUACUCAUUUUACAGGAGGCAACUGAGACUCAGACAGAGCUUAACAGAAUAAGAGAAUUCAAAGGAUAACCUGGAGCAGAUAAGGCCUUAGGUGCCGCCCGGUGUACACUUCCCGAGAUGGGAUAAUUGUGUUUCUGCAAAUUGAGUUUGGCUAUGGCUCUUUCCCAAGCCCAGAAUUAGGUGGGUUGCCUGGCUAAGGUUAACUCAUAUUGAUUCAGGUAACUAGCCCUUGGCCAGAAAGGCAGAGAGAAGGAUAUGAGGUAGAUGUGAAGAAUUUCUCUACUGAAAAGAUUUGUGACUCUGAAACCUCCCCCGGAACGGGAAUGCACCUGGGAAUGGUGCUUAACCAAGACACGUGUUUUUAGUGAGACGGAUGAUGAGCAAAUGGGUGCAGUGAUGGGGGAGGGGUAAGCUUGGUGACUUCCAAAAAUUUCACCUGGGAAUUCACAGUGUCCAGGAAUCUUUUCCAGAUGUUAGGAGAGCAGAUAAACACUGGACAAAUGUUAGCCACUGUCUUAUGAUUCACUUUGAGUAACUGGUGUUAAAUGUGGUGUCCUCAGGCACUCUGUGAUAAGGGAGGGAAGGAUGCUACAUGGGAUAUAAGAAGAUGAAGGUGAUGGGAUUCUGUGGCCAAGAUGUCCCUCAGAUCCAGGCAGAUUUCUGGGGAAAGAUCCUAUCCCUUGGCUUUGGGCCUGAUCUUGACAGAGUCAGUUUUUCUUCUCUCUGCCAUUCCUGGGGAAGUAUUUGAAACAAGUCCUUGUUGACAUAUUCAUGAGUCUGAAUUUAUUGAAGAAAACACUUGCUUUCAAUAAAUUCAAGGCCCUUCUCAUUGGUAAUUUCCCACAUAAUUCCUCUGAAAUAGGGGACAGAAUGUCGAUUUCUUUUACUUUAGAGUGAGGGAAACUGGCCUGGAUUACUGUGUGGUUUCCCCAGCCACAUGGCUGGUGGGUGACAGCUUGCUGUAGAAGCAAGCUACCUUCUAGCACUCCACUCCACUGCUGCUUCAGUAGGCUGUGCGUCUCACUUGUGACCGAAUAUGCAUGUUUGUCUUGUUUCCUUUUGAAAAGCCAAUUGCCUAAGUGAUUUUUAAUGCAGCUGAAUGGUACCUCUUUUUUUCUUCUUUGUCUUUUGCAAGUAAUCUUCCCUAGUCUUUUCCUUCUCCUAAUGCCUCAACUUGUCAUUCUUAAUACUUUAUUAAGCUCUGUGCUUUCCCAAGCCUUUUUAUUUCAGUUAUCUUAUUUCUUCCCCACAACUAGCGCUGCGAGGUGGAUAUUGCUAAUAUGGGAACAGAUGAAGAAACAGGCUGUCUGAGGCUAAGAUGCUUUACCAAAUCAUAAGUUCAUGUAGCUGGUAAGCAGAGAGCUAGAAUCCGGGUCUUCUGACCCCCAGCCCAGGUCUCUCCAUGGAGACCAUGGCUGCUUCCUUUCCUCUCAUUAUUUUUACCUUUAUCAAAACCUUGCCUCUCUUGCUUGUCCCGAGAUGUUCAACAUGUUCUCCCGCCCCAAGCCCACCACCACUUUGCUUCUUGGCCCUUGCUCUGUAUGUGCUUUGACAGUCUAUCUCAUGUUGCUUUUCCCUUUCUCCUUGGCUUGUGCCGCGUUCUUUCUCCUGAACUGCAGUUGAACUCCUUCCUGGAGACCUGAUCAUGACUAUAAAUCCACAAGGUACUGUGAUCACCAGCCUACUUCAAGUCCUCACUCUCUCCCCAUCGCGCCCCAUCUCCCUACAGAGGGCCCUGACGCAUGUGCACUGCUCUGGAAGCUUUGUCUGGCAUGCUGUUCUUAUUCAAGGGCUUAGAAAUGUUCUCAAGGGCUAUUAUCACUUUAGGAACCCUAUCUGUUGUCUUGGUGCUGGGUAUUCCCCAUGACUGAUCCUUAACCGCACAUUUUUUUACUAAAGGCUCAGCCAGGCUGGGUCUGGUUUUCCCUUUCCUUCGGAUGUUGAUGGCCAUGAACUUCAUUACUCAACUCAGUUGACCCCCGUGAGCACCCUCCCUGCUGAGCUUUACCAUCGGCUCAGCCUUGCGUCAUAGCUCCAACUUCUGUGUGGAAAGACCUCGAUAGUCAAUACCUGUUCCUACGCCAGCCUUUCUUUUCAGACCGUCUAAAAGCACUAUCCUUUAGAGUCACCACCCCCAAACAUCCGCACACCCAGACUUCUGAUUCUGAGUUUCUCGUUUCUCCUUUGAUGCCAAACGAGACACGUUAGUAGAAAAGGAAUUUUUCAAAGCAGGGAUAUGCUGGAAAUAUGUGUAGAGCUAUGAAUGGUGAAGAGAAGCGAUAGUAGCUCCCUCCCUUCUCCCCAAAUUAGAUCAAAAAGAAAAAUAUACCCAUCUCAGAAUCUGUCAUAAAUCAGAGGGAAGAGGGCCAUGAGACUACAUUGUGGCAGGAAGAAGCAGGGAGCUAGACACAUUUCACAACAGGUCAUGGUUCCCCUUUCCCAAGUUAAGUGGAAAUGGAAAAAUAAAAUAAAAAGCACCUUCCUCUCCUCUCCUUUUGUAAAUGAAAACUCUCUAACCGGGUGAAUUCUCUUAGGCACUGGCUAUGUAUCUGAAUACCACUUGGCAUGUCAUGACUCUGAUCAUGCAUUCAUUCUGCAUUUUAGCACCCACUCUGUGUUAAGCACCAGUCUCCACCCUGAGUGUGCCUCGUGGCCUUAGGUUUUAAAAAUAGCAUCACCCAAGGCCGUUCCUAAUCUCUUCUGUGGUAGAUGACUUAUGUUUAGCCCCUCUACCCGUCCUUGAGUCUAUCGGAGGACCCAGGAGAUAAGCGCUUUAAGCAGGCCUAAAUUGUAGAUUAGCCUCAACCUCUAUCUUAGGCCAGCUAAGCUCAAAGCCUGUAUUACUUUAUCUUUCUUUUCCCCAAGUUACCAUUUGGCAAGAGAUGUCUCUGAUGGGCAGUGUUUGUGCCGGGGCGGGAGGCUGCUGAAGGUCGAGUGCUUGUAGGUUUGUGAUGCGCCAUCAAACACGACCAGCAAACUCAUGCAGUCCUGGAACUGAUGGGGCUCAUUGCUAUGUUGUCACCUUCUUGCUGCUUUCUCUUGAUUUUCCACAGCCAAUCUUUCUCUGAACACUAGAAAUGUCGUUCCCGACCACCCAAUGCCUGUAACGUGGUGUUUUUCAGUAAACUCCCUGUUCACAUUAAUAAAGUGUCUCUAAACACUGCUG